rnacentral:rRNA from 1 species
UACGUAGGUGGCAAGCGUUGUCCGGAUUUAUUGGGCGUAAAGCGAGCGCAGGCGGUUUCUUAAGUCUGAUGUGAAAGCCCCCGGCUCAACCGGGGAGGGUCAUUGGAAACUGGGAAGCUUGAGUGCAGAAGAGGAGAGUGGAAUUCCAUGUGUAGCGGUGAAAUGCGUAGAUAUAUGGAGGAACACCAGUGGCGAAGGCGGCUCUCUGGUCUGUAACUGGACGCUGAGGCUCGAAAGCGUGGGGAGCAAACAGG